rnacentral:rRNA from 1 species
CGUAGGCAGAUAAUUGAAAAUACAGUAAAAGACUGAGGAGAACCCUCUUAAUUCUGCAUUCACUGAUUAUUUGAGUUUUGAAGGCGGUUUAUUGAAUUCUUGAAGGAAGGGUGAAAUUGUUGAUAUUGGAAGACAUUCGAUAGCGAAAGCAUUAACCGAUUCAGAUCUAACGCUAGGUACUAAAGUAUGGGGAUAAAUAGGAUUAGAGACCUAGUAGUCCAUACCUUAAACAAUGAGUGUUCAACGUCUUUUGGCACAUGUGUACUCUGUGCCAUGUGCUAUUGGGGGUUUAAAGCUAACGCGUGAAACACCGCCUGGGGAAUGUGGCCGCAAGGUUAAACUCAAAGGAAUUGACGGAGACUUAUAC